CAACUCCUGUUUUUUUUCUCUUCUUCCCUGGCUCCAUUGAUUUAUUACCCUUCUCCAACCAGAAUGGUUAUCUAAACAAACCAUUAAAGCUGGUCGUGUUUCAGUAAUUAACUUAUUUCCCCUUUUUAAUUGAGAUGUUUACCUCACAGCUGAGGGUAGCUGUAAAAAAACUUCACCCCCCUGCUUACAGUUUUUUUUUAAAGGGACGCACACCUACACUUAUAACAUGUGAUUUACAACAAAUAAAAGACUUAACUUCAGCAUUCAUUC